CACCACCAGGGUGAACUGUUGCUAGCCGCAGCGUCUCUGCCCGUGAAAGCGGCCUGUCGCGAGAGCGUCAGGUGGGUGGUGUGUCCUCGUUAAAAACCGUAAGCGCUAGUCACUACCUUGCUAGUGGCGACACCCUCAAAUUGCGGGGACAGCCUAAAGGCGCUGAGUACGAAACAGCGGGAAACCAGCUGGCCGGCCGCCGCCGGACGUGACAACCUCAGCGCAUGCUACAGUGGCCGAUCCGCAGCCGAGCCCCUAAGGGUCCACCAGGCCUAGGGGGAAGGUUCAGAGACUUGACGGGGGUGGCCCUCCUCGACCGGAGGGCUAAGAUAAAGUCCGAGCCCGGCGGCGAAAGCCCCGGGAGGUUGGCGCUCUACCAACUGAAAAAUGGGAGCCUGCGGCUUAAUUUGACUCAACACGGGGAAACUCACCAGGUCAGACACAAC
rnacentral:rRNA from 1 species